UUUGACCUAAAUCAAGACGAUACAGAAAAUUAGAACGAUACAGAAAAGAUUAGCAUGACCCCUAUGCAAGGAUGCCAUGCACAGAUCGAAAAAUGGUAUCAGAGACU